GCCAGACUCCUACGGGAGGCAGCAGUGGGGAAUAUUGCACAAUGGGCGCAAGCCUGAUGCAGCAACGCCGCGUGAGCGAAGAAGGUCUUCGGAUCGUAAAGCUCUGUCCUUGAGGAAGAAGGAAGUGACGGUACUCAAGGAGGAAGCCCCGGCUAACUACGUGCCAGCAGCCGCGGUAAUACGGAGGGUGCGAGCGUUAGUCGGAAUUACUGGGCGUAAAGCGCUCGUAGGCGGUAUGUCAAGUCAAGGGUGAAAUCCCCGCGCUCAACGUGGGAACUGCCUUUGAAACUGGCAAACUGGAGUGUGUGAGAGGAUAGUGGAAUUCCAGGUGUAGGAGUGAAAUCCGUAGAUAUCUGGAGGAACAUCAGUGGCGAAGGCGACUAUCUGGCACAUAACUGACGCUGAGGAGCGAAAGCGUGGGUAGCAAACAGGAUUAGAUACCCCAGUA
rnacentral:rRNA from 1 species